UCACUUAAAGAAGGAUGAAGAUAUGGUUAUUGUUUCAGUAUAGGGAAAUGGGGUUCCAAAUGCUGUGAUUGGCUGACGGUUUUUAUGGGCAUCCGCCCAUAAAAACAGGGCCGUGGCACAACUCAAUUUUUCCCAAUCUCAAUUUCCCCAUUACUUGGAAAUCUCACUCCUUUCUUGGCACCAAAAUCAGGUGUCUCCUUUACCAUCAUUCUUGCUGCCAAACUCGGAAAAGCUGAAUAAUUAAAAGAUUAUUUAAUAUCCUACAAAUUAAUUUUCUGACAUCCACUCAAUUACAUAAAUCGCUUCAACUCACCACAAGUUAAGCUCUAAGCUUCAACUCUCGGUAAGUAGUAAAAGAAUUACUAUUUUCUUUCAACAAUGAACGGUGGGGACACAAAUAUGGUGGUGACACGUUCAUUUUUACGAGUGAUUUGGAUGUUAAUUUAUUGCGAUUUAUUGGUACAGGUAACUGCUAAGGACAAUUUUUCAUCCAUUAAUUUUGCGACCUCUCUGCCGUGCCCCCACCAGAAAUCUGUGUCAUCGCCGGCCAACCUGUAUAGACUCAUCAAUUACCAUUAGUUGUUGUUCGUGACCUGGUAACAGUGUGAAAUUGUCGGAAACUUCGUUAAAGUUUUACAAGAUUCAAAAAUAGUUUCUCAUAUAAUGAACGAUAUAAUAUUUGUGCCAAUUGUUACUCAAUAUUGUGACCUAUUGCCCCUUCCUCCACCAGAUCCGUGUCUCCACCGGUCAAUUUAUCUGAUCUAUCAGUACUCAUCAAUUACUAUGAGACCUUGUUCGUGACUCGGGAAUAGUGUGAAAUUCUCAGGAACGUCA